rnacentral:rRNA from 1 species
CGGAGGAAAAGAAACUAACAAGGAUUCCCCCAGUAACGGCGAGUGAAGCGGAAGAGCUCAAGCUUAAAAUCUCCAUGUUUUACAUGGCGAAUUGUAGUCUAUUGAGGCUGUUGUCAGCAUAGCGAUUUGGGAUAAGUCCCUUGGAAAAGGGCAGCAUAGAGGGUGAUACUCCCGUCUUUGCUCAGAUUGUCUAUGUGUACGAUACGCUUUCUUUGAGUCGAGUUGUUUGGGAAUACAGCUCAAAGUAGGUGGUAAAUUCCAUCUAAAGCUAAAUAUUGGUGCGAGACCGAUAGCGAACAAGUACCGUGAGGGAAAGAUGAAAAGAACUUUGAAAAGAGAGUUAAAGAGUACCUGAACUGUUGAAAGGGAACCGUAACAUGUCCAGUGUUGUAUCUUGUGCAUAUUUCAUUAGUGGAGCAAUUACUGGUGCCCUGUGCAUGAGUGUGACGUCAAAGUCAGUUUGUAUGCUGCGGGAGAUGGUUAGCAAGGAGGUGCGUCACUUUUGUGUCAGUUAUACCUUGUUAUCUAGUAGCCGUGGUUGAGACUGAGGUGCCUACAACAUGCUUAUAGAGUAUAUUGUUGUCUCGUUAUUAUAUCUGUUUGGAUAGCUUGCUAUGCUGAUGGACUAUAGUGGCGAUUGAUGAUGGUAUUAACUUUUUGCUGUUCGGGACUUUGACG